rnacentral:rRNA from 1 species
GACGAACGCUGGCGGCGUGCCUAAUACAUGCAAGUUGAGCGAUGAAGAUUGGUGCUUGCACCAAUUUGAAGAGCAGCGAACGGGUGAGUAACGCGUGGGGAAUCUGCCUUUGAGCGGGGGACAACAUUUGGAAACGAAUGCUAAUACCGCAUAAUAACUUUAAACAUAAGUUUUAAGUUUGAAAGAUGCAAUUGCAUCACUCAAAGAUGAUCCCGCGUUGUAUUAGCUAGUUGGUGAGGUAAAGGCUCACCAAGGCGAUGAUACAUAGCCGACCUGAGAGGGUGAUCGGCCAAAUUGGGACUGAGACACGGCCCAAACUCCUACGGGAGGCAGCAGUAGGGAAUCUUCGGCAAUGGACGAAAGUCUGACCGAGCAACGCCGCGUGAGUGAAGAAGGUUUUCGGAUCGUAAAACUCUGUUGGUAGAGAAGAACGUUGGUGAGAGUGGAAAGCUCAUCAAGUGACGGUAACUACCCAGAAAGGGACGGCUAACUACGUG